GUCUAUGGCCAUACCACCCUGAACACGCCUGAUCUCGUCUGAUCUCAGAAGCUAAGCAGGAUCGGGCCUGGUUAGUACUCAAAAGGGAGAAUUACUGGACUCUCUUAGGGA
rnacentral:rRNA from 1 species